UUAGUACUAUCGUCGUGGUAGCCAGUAACACUAGGCCUCGGCUCAAAGUCGUUCGCAAAGGAUUUCUCUCCAGUUAGUUUAGUACUAUCGUCGUGGUAGCCAGUCACACUAGGCCUCGGUUCAAAGUCUUUCACGUAAGAUUUCUCUCCAGUUAGUUUAGUACUAUCCUCGUGGUAGCCAGUCGUACUAGGCCUCGGUUCAAAGUCUUUCACGUAAGUUUUAGCAGUUUGGUCGUUGUUUGUCGCUUCCGUUGAUGUGUGACAGUCGGUUUUUGCGGUGGUGGAGAGGGGGGACACUGAUCCCCGAGGGAGUAGGCCGUGAAGCGCUUCUGGCAUGGGUUGAUCCUUCAUAACGCCUUUCCAGUAUUCUCCGGAGUCUGGUCUUGCAUCAAUGGUGCUCCCAAACUGCAGAAUGAAGA